rnacentral:rRNA from 1 species
CCCUUAGAUGUUCUGGGCCGCACGCGCGCUACACUGACGAUGUCAACGAGUCUCUCCUUGGCCGAAAGGUCUGGGUAAUCUUCUGAAACAUCGUCGUGCUGGGGAUAGAUCAUUGCAAUUUUUGAUCUUGAACGAGGAAUUCCUAGUAAGCGCGAGUCAUCAGCUCGCGUUGAUUACGUCCCUGCCCUUUGUACACACCGCCCGUCGCUACUACCGAUUGAAUGGUUUAGUGAGGACUCCUGAUUGGCGCCGCCGCCCCGGCAACGGAGCAGUGGACUGCCGAAAAGUUGUUCAAACUUGGUCAUUUAGAGGAAGUAAAAGUCGUAACA